rnacentral:rRNA from 1 species
CAGUCGCCGCGGGAAUACGAAGGGGGCUAGCGUUGUUCGGAUUUACUGGGCGUAAAGGGCGCGUAGGCGGACUGAUAAGUCAGGGGUGAAAUCCCAAGGCCCAACCUUGGAACUGCCUUUGAUACUGUUUGUCUUGAGUUCGAGAGAGGUAAGUGGAACUGCGAGUGUAGAGGUGAAAUUCGUAGAUAUUCGCAAGAACACCAGUGGCGAAGGCGGCUUACUGGCUCGAAACUGACGCUGAGGCGCGAAAGCGUGGGGAGCAAACAGGAUUAGAUACCCCUGUAGUCCCUGUCUCUUAUAC